rnacentral:miRNA from 1 species
GGUCAGCUGACACAUCCCUGCCAAUCUCCGGCAGACCCUCCCUCCCAGACCCUCCCACCUCCUGGACAGCAUCCAUUUUGAAGGCAGCUUCAACAUGGAUGCUGUCCAGGAGGUGGGAGGGUCUGGGAGGGAGGGUCUGCCAGAGAUUGGCAGGGAUGUGUCAGCUG